rnacentral:rRNA from 1 species
AUUGAACGCUGGCGGCAGGCCUAACACAUGCAAGUCGAACGAGUGGCGGACGGGUGAGUAAUGUCUGGGACACUGCCUGAUGGAGGGGGAUAACUACUGGAAACGGUAGCUAAUACCGCAUACCAUCGGAUGUUCCCAGAUGGGAUUCGCGAGUAGGUGGGGUAAAGGCUCACCUAGGCGACGAUCCCUAGCUGAUCUGAGAGGAUGACCAGCCACACUGGAACUGAGACACGGUCCAGACUCCUACGGGAGGCAGCAGUGGGGAAUAUUGCACAAUGGGCGAAAGCCUGAUGAAGCCAUGCCGCGUGUAUGAAGAAGGCCUUCGGGUUGUAAAGUACUUUCAGUGGGGAGGCGUUACCCGAAGAAGAAGCACCGGCUAACUCCGUGCCAGCAGCCGCGGUAAUUC